rnacentral:rRNA from 1 species
CUAGCAUAUCAAUAAGCGGAGGAAAAGAAACCAACAGGGAUUGCCCUAGUAACGGCGAGUGAAGCGGCAACAGCUCAAAUUUGAAAUCUGGCGCAAGCCCGAGUUGUAAUUUGUAGAGGAUGCUUCUGGGCAGCGGCCGGUCUAAGUUCCUUGGAACAGGACGUCAUAGAGGGUGAGAAUCCCGUAUGCGACCGGCUCGCACCCGUCACGUAGCUCCUUCGACGAGUCGAGUUGUUUGGGAAUGCAGCUCUAAAUGGGAGGUAAAUGUCUUCUAAAGCUAAAUACCGGCCAGAGACCGAUAGCGCACAAGUAGAGUGAUCGAAAGAUGAAAAGCACUUUGGAAAGAGAGUUAAAAAGCACGUGAAAUUGUUGAAAGGGAAGGGCAUGCAACCAGACUUGUCGGCGGUGUUCCGCCGGUCUUCUGACCGGUUCACUCGCCGCCGACAGGCCAGCAUCAUCUGGGAGCGCCGGAUAAAGGCGUGGGGAAUGUAGCUCCUCGGAGUGUUAUAGCCCCGCGCACAAUACGGCGCCUCCCGGGUGAGGUCCGCGCUUCGGCUAGGAUGCUGGCGUAAUGGUUGCCUGCCGCCCGUCUUGAAACACGGACCAAGGAGUCUAACAUCUAUGCGAGUGUUCGGGUGUCAAACCCCUACGCGUAAUGAAAGUGAACGGAGGUGGGAACCCUUACGGGUGCACCAUCGACCGAUCCUGAUGUCUUCGGAUGGAUUUGAGUAAGAGCAUAGCUGUUGGGACCCGAAAGAUGGUGAACUAUGCCUGAAUAGGGUGAAGCCAGAGGAAACUCUGGUGGAGGCUCGCAGCGGUUCUGACGUGCAAAUCGAUCGUCAAAUUUGGGUAUAGGGGCGAAAGACUAAUCGAACCAUCUAGUAGCUGGUUCCUGCCGA